AGAGUUUGAUCCUGGCUCAGAUUGAACGCUGGCGGAAUGCUUUACACAUGCAAGUCGAACGGUAGAGGGGGCAACCCCUUGAGAGUGGCGAACGGGUGAGUAAUGUAUCGGAACGUGCCCAGUCGUGGGGGAUAACGUAGUGAAAAUUACGCUAAUACCGCAUACGAUCUAUGGAUGAAAGCGGGGGAUCGCAAGACCUCGCACGAUUGGAGCGGCCGAUAUCAGAUUAGGUAGUUGGUGGGGUAAAGGCUCACCAAGCCAACGAUCUGUAGCUGGUCUGAGAGGACGACCAGCCACACUGGAACUGAGACACGGUCCAGACUCCUACGGGAGGCAGCAGUGGGGAAUUUUGGACAAUGGACGCAAGUCUGAUCCAGCCAUUCCGCGUGCAGGACGAAGGCCUUCGGGUUGUAAACUGCUUUUGUACGGAACGAAAAAGCUCCUAUUAAUACUAGGAGUCCAUGACGGUACCGUAAGAAUAAGCACCGGCUAACUACGUGCCAGCAGCCGCGGUAAUACGUAGGGUGCAAGCGUUAAUCGGAAUUACUGGGCGUAAAGCGUGCGCAGGCGGUUACAUAAGACAGAUGUGAAAUCCCCGAGCUUAACUUGGGAACUGCAUUUGUGACUGUAUAGCUAGAGUACGGCAGAGGGGGAUGGAAUUCCGCGUGUAGCAGUGAAAUGCGUAGAUAUGCGGAGGAACACCGAUGGCGAAAGCAAUCCCCUGGGCCUGUACUGACGCUCAUGCACGAAAGCGUGGGGAGCAAACAGGAUUAGAUACCCUGGUAGUCCACGCCCUAAACGAUGUCAACUGGUGUUGGGUCUUCACUGACUCAGUAACGAAGCUA
rnacentral:rRNA from 1 species